GCCGAAGUGGCGGAAUGGCAGACGCAGUGGUCUCAAAAACCACCGAGGGCGACCUCGUACCGGUUCGACUCCGGUCUUCGGCACCA
rnacentral:tRNA from 1 species